UACAGAGGUCUCAAGCGUUGUUCGGAUUCAUUGGGCGUAAAGGGUGCGUAGGCGGCGCGGUAAGUCGGGUGUGAAAUUUCGGAGCUUAACUCCGAAACUGCAUUCGAUACUGCGGUGCUUGAGGACUGGAGAGGAGACUGGAAUUCAUGGUGAGCAGUGAAAUGCGUAGAGAUCAUGAGGAAGACCAGUGGCGAAGGCGGGUCUCUGGACAGUUCCUGACACUGAGACACGAAGGCCAGGGGAGCAAACGGG
rnacentral:rRNA from 1 species